GACUGUCCGGUGCACCCGUCACCGGGCAUUAACCAUCAUCCAAACCCAGGCCCGGAGCAUCAGACUCAACCUGUCCUCACCCGGGCACUUCAAAGCCUCUCCUCUUCCCUGUUAGUUUGAGAUCUACUUUCCAAACAAGGCAGCGAUAUAUAUAAAAUCAGAAAUAAACAAUAACCUGAAAAACAAGUCCUGGGAUUAACGUGAUUUAAAUGAAAACUUUUCCUAUUUGCAAACAGAUUUUAUUUUGUAAUGACUAUGUUUCAGUCCAUUAGAGGCGAAUUUAAAGUGCUUUUUUUUUUUAAGCAAACAAAAACCCGAAAUAGCUUAUUGCGUAAUUCUUUCUGCUCUUUGGUGUAAUGUCGACUUCAGUGAGCUUCCCAGAUCGGGAUCCAUAGAUGUUCGGGGUUGAAAUCGUGAGGAAGCCCGUGGCCUGCCGUCCAUAGGUGUACGGUCCGAUACGGAGGAGAAUCCCGUUCCACAGUGAUCUGAGGGGAAUGCUUCCCCCAUCCUGAUGAUGUUAGCCAAGAGGUGAUCUGUCCGGCCGAUUUCCAUCAAUCAUCGCUAGGCCUGCCGCUCAUCCUCCCAUAACCCUGAGCUCCGGGGUUGGGGCUGGCAGGUACCGUACCUACGAAUCUGAAUCCAGGCUUCAAGAAGCAAGGUAGCAUUCCCCAGGAGAAAAGAAAUUGUCACCACCUUCGUCUGAUCCUGGACUCGGAAAAGAAAGUCUGAGUUUCUGGGCAACCUGUUCUAACAUAACCAGAGCUCUAAUGCUCUUCGCUUGUCCUACUGGUCGAUAACAUUUCUUUGGACCGACCAAAAUCGUUCAAUGUGUGCAUGCUUUUUGUAUGAAUGGAAAAAUUAGAUUAGCUGUUGUUUAGAAACAAAAUAAGACAAAACA